UGAUAACCCACUUUCCACAUGUCUAGUAGGGAUUCCCUUUGUAGCAGAUGAUUGGCCUGUCUAUAACUCAGAGCUCCUCCGCACCACAGGUAAGAGACCCAAUUUGGCAGAUACUUGGGACGAGUGGACAAAAAUGCUGCCUAAUGCUUUAGAUGAACCCCAAGAAUUGGAUCUGCUGGGGUCCUCCAAGGCCGCAUACUGUGUUAAAUUUUACUUUAGACGCCCGAAAAACAAUUGGCCAGAAAUUGAUCAGACAAAAAACACAUAUCGAAAAGACAUAUCACCCAUUAACAAAGCCUAUAACUAUCCCGACUGGUGUAAUUACACUGCUCGUGUGAUAUCUGUGUCCUCUCUCCACCCUAAAGUAUUACCCAAGGGUACAUUUCUCAUCUGUGGUGACAGAGUUUGGGCUGGGAUCCCCUCCCGACUCCAGGGAGGUCCCUGUACACUUGGAAAACUUUCUACUCUCACUCCAAACAUCACACUGUUACAUAAUUGGAGAAAAGAUAGUGAAUCAAAACGCCACAAAAGAUCCUACACUGAAUUUGAUGAAAAUUGGAACAAACCCAAAAAGAUUGCUGUCUCCCUAUUCCUACCCUGGAUAGCUGCAGCUAAAGCCCUCAGUGAAAUAAAUAACCUUGGGUGCUGGCUCAGUAAACAAGCUAACACUACAUCUGCUGCCCUGAGCGAUCUCCUUAAGGAAGAAGAAACCACAAGACACACUUCACUCCAGAAUCGAGCUGCGAUUGACUUCCUGCUGCUUGCCCGUGGACAUGGUUGUGAAGACUUUGAAGGGAUGUGCUGCUUCAAUCUCUCUUCACGCUCGGAAUCCAUCCAUGCGAACAUCCAGAAACUGAAAGAUCUUGUGAAGGACUUAAAAGUAGAAAAAACCCCAGACUGGGUUAAUGAUCUUUUUGGUCAAUGGGGAUUAUCUGGAUGGGUUGCAUCUUUGGUUAAGGGGAUGUUGUGGGUUCUCCUUGUAGUUGUUAUUGUAUUAGCUAUGUUUUCAUGCCUUGUUCAUUGUUUUAAAAGAACCAUAGAAAAUGUCUUUUUUCUAAAAACAGAAAGUGGAGUUGUAGCAGACACAGGGAUGGCUACGGCUCCGUGGAGGAAUGUUUAGAGAUAGGUAUUUGCUGAGUCAUAGGAAUUGUACCAGGAGUCCUCACUCUGGUCCUCCUUAUAUCUCUGUGACUCCAUAGGCUAGUUUUCGUAACCCUUACAAUUGGUCAGUUUUCAAUCCUCCCUAACCCUACAAAAGAGGCUGUCUGGGCCCAUUUUCUUUAGAAGAGCAGCUUCAAGACCCUUCGCCAGACCCUCAGAAUAAACCAUCGUGGAACACUCUUGGCA
rnacentral:lncRNA from 1 species